GCAGCGCAUCUAUUUUUCCCCAUCAAGAUUUACAUGCUAAAAUCGCCACUGCAUUUAAAGUACACCAACAUUUUUCCCCAUCAUUCUUUAUGUCGUUGAUCUUGGCUUCAUAAUACAGUUUCUUGUUCUUCUUGUUGAGUUUAGUCACAUCAUUUCUCAGUUUGCAGUAAGUCAGCCAAUCAGAUGUGCAGCCGGACUUAUUAGCCACUCCUUUUGCCCUCAUCUCUUUCAACCAUACAGUUGUUCAAUUCCUCAUCAAUCCAUGGAGCCUUUACAGUUCGAACAGUCAGUUUCUUAACAGGUUCAUGUUUAUCAAUAACUGGAAGAAGCAAUUUCAUGAGUUCAUCAAGUGCAGCGUCUGGAUGCUCCUCAUUAAUCACAUCAGACCAACAAAUAUUUUAUAUGUUUAGUGAGUCCGCCAGAUCAGAGGCAGUAGGGAUGACCAGGGAUGAUCUCUGUUUAGUGAGUCCUCCAGUUCAGAGGCAGUAGGGAUGACCAGGGAUGUUCUCUGUUUAGUGAGUCAUCCAGAUCAGAGACAGUAGGGAUGACCAGGGAUGUUCUCUGUUUAGUGAGUCCUCCAGAUCAGAGGCAGUAGGGAUGACCAGGGAUGUUCUCUGUUUAGCGAGUCCUCCAGAUCAGAGGCAGUAGGGAUGACCAGGGAUGUUCUCUGUUUAGCGAGUCCUCCAGAUCAGAGGCAGUAGGGAUGACCAGGGAUGUUCUCUGUUUAGCGAGUCCUCCAGAUCAGAGGCAGUAGGGAUGACCAGGGAUGUUCUGUUUAGCGAGUCCUCCAGAUCAGAGGCAGUAGGGAUGACCAGGGAUGUUCUCUGUUUAGUGAGUCCUCCAGAUCAGAGGCAGUAGGGAUGACCAGGGAUGUUCUCUGUUUAGUGAGUCCUCCAGAUCAGAGGCUAGUAUGGAUGACCAGGGAUGUUCUCUGUUUAGUGAGUCCUCCAGAUCAGAGGCAGUAGGGAUGACCAGGGAUGUUCUCUCGAUAAGUGCGUGAAUUGGACCAUUUUCCUGUCAAAAUGUAACGAGUACUUUUGGGUCUCGUUUGUGUGUCAAGAAAAAUGUAUGGAGUAAAAAGUAUAUUAUUUUCUUUAGGAAUGUAGUGAAGUAAAGGUAAAAGUUGGUAAAAACAUAAAUAGUAAAGUAAAUAACAGAUACCCCCCCAAAAAAACAACUGAAGUAGUACUUUACACCACUGAUAUUCAGGUCCCCAAAAUGUAAGACCUCUCUGUUUCCAGAACAUACUAUAAGGGGGACCCAGACACGGGAGGCAGAUGGUUUGAGUCUUGAUAUCUAUUAAACAAUCCAAAAGGGGGAGGCAAGAGAAUGGUCGUGGACAGGUCAAAGGUCAAAACCAGUUCAGAGACCAGGAGGUACAGAGUGACAGGCAGGCUCGAGGUCAGGGCAGGCAGACUGGUCAGGCAGGCAGGUACGGAGUCCAGAAAACAGGUCAGGGUCAAAAUUAGGAGGACUAACAAAAGAGAAUAGAAGCAGGAGUACGGGAAAAACACUGGUUGACUUGAAAAACAUACAAGACGAACUGGCACAGAGAGACAGGAAACACAGGGAUAAAUACACCGGGGAUAAUAAGUGGAGGGGGUGGAGACAAUCACAAGGACAGGUGAAACAGAUCAGGGUGUUACACAUACACUAUCAAGAAUUUCACACAUAUUAUUUAGAUACUGACUGUUAGCACUUGGUGGCCUAUAG
ensembl:lncRNA